GGCCUGUUAGCUCAGUUGGUUAGAGCGCCGUGCUAAUAUCGCGGAGAUCAUGAGUUCGAUCCUCUUACGGGCCA
rfam:Daphnia pulex DAPPTscaffold_1217_Cont12240, whole genome shotgun sequence.